rnacentral:rRNA from 1 species
AACGUAGGAGCCAAGCGUUAUCCGAAUUCACUGGGCGUAAAGCGCGUGCAGGCGGCCUGAUAAGUUGGAUGUGAAAUCUCCUGGCUCAACUGGGAGAGGCCGUUCAAUACUGUUGGGCUAGAGGGCGACAGAGGGAGGUGGAAUUCCGGGUGUAGUGGUGAAAUGCGUAGAUAUCCGGAGGAACACCAGAGGCGAAGGCGACCUCCUGGGUCGCACCUGACGCUCAGACGCGAAAGCUAGGGGAGCGAACGGGAUUAGAAACCCGCGUAGUCC